AGUGAACGCUGGCGGUAGGCCUAACACAUGCAAGUCGAACGGCAGCACAGUAAGAGCUUGCUCUUACGGGUGGCGAGUGGUGGACGGGUGAGGAAUACAUCGGAAUCUACUUUUUCGUGGGGGAUAACGUAGGGAAACUUACGCUAAUACCGCAUACGACCUACGGGUGAAAGCAGGGGAUCUUCGGACCUUGCGCGAUUGAAUGAGCCGAUGUCGGAUUAGCUAGUUGGCGGGGUAAAGGCCCACCAAGGCGACGAUCCGUAGCUGGUCUGAGAGGAUGAUCAGCCACACUGGAACUGAGACACGGUCCAGGCUCCUACGGGAGGCAGCAGUGGGGAAUAUUGGACAAUGGGCGCAAGCCUGAUCCAGCCAUACCGCGUGGGUGAAGAAGGCCUUCGGGUUGUAAAGCCCUUUUGUUGGGAAAGAAAAGCAGCAGGUUAAUACCCCGCUGUUCUGACGGUACCCAAAGAAUAAGCACCGGCUAACUUCGUG
rnacentral:rRNA from 1 species